rnacentral:misc_RNA from 1 species
AGGAUAUCAGCAAAACCUCGUGCAAAACGGGACACCUGGUCAGAGGUUGAUAUCACAAAGCGAUGCCUAAUGAGGAGAUUGACAUAUUCCUCUCUAUUCUUGCUAGUUACAGAAAUGCUUUUCCCAUCAAGGCAAAGUUCCACAACUCUUCUUGAUCCCAACUCUUCAACUUCUCUAAUAAAUGUUAAUCCUAAAGCAUCCGAAUCAAUAAAAUCAGCAUCCAUUUCAAGAAUCUGCUUGCAGCUACUGUAUAAGCACGGAUCUGCAUUGCGUAUGUCCUCCAAAAAAAUAUGCCUUCCAGCCAAUUGCAAGAAAAACACACGAUCAAAGAUGAUGCCAACUUGCACUUUAUGCAUCAAAGCUAGCCCAAUAACUCGACCAGAGAACGUAAAAUAAUCAAGGUGCAUGGGAUCCACCUUAGAUGCAGGAUUAGGAUAAAAUCUUCUCAGAUCAUUUGGACAUGCAACGAAAAGGGCAUUUUGUUGAUUGAAUAAAGCUUGGACAACCAAGAAAAACCACUCCCGCAAGACACCAGGACCAGUAGCUUCUUCAUUUUUAAAUUCCAUAAAUAGACCACCAUGCAGUGCCUCAGGGUCUGCUCGUGCUAUAUACUCAAAUGAUUCUGCCAACAAGUGUGAUCUAUCAAUGAGCAUCUCAUGCAGCUCCUCGUAAUCUUCUUUAACCUCAGGGAACAUCAUCAUGGCCAAAUGCCUCCUGGACUCAAAAUCAGUGACAUCCUUGUGCUGAAGAAGCCACUGAUGAUCAUCAUUUCGUUUUGCAUAUUUAACAAUUAGAACACAAAGGGAUGCCUUCCUAAGCCUCAAAACUGCCCAAAAUUGUUCUUCAGCGUUUUUAUAAAGUUCGGCAAUGUUAUUCAAUUCCUUCAAAAUAGCAAGAUACUGAGACCAUGCUGUGUGAGUAGACUCACCUUCUCCAUUUGCUUUCAACGGCACAAGCAACUCUCCAUUCUGGUAAGACAGUUGUCCAUUUUUAUCAGUAAAUCACUAAAUAUAACAUGAAGUUGCUCAAUUUCCUCCACAUAUAAUGGAUGACUAAAACCUCUCUUGUUCAAAGGCACAGAAAUGGGCCCCUGAAAACCCACGUGUUCUGUAAUAGUCGUAUGCAAAGGGAGCAAGAAGGCUGAAAAGUCCCGAACAUC